ACCGAGAUACUGCUUGUGAUAUCUGGAAAACAAUUGAAAUCAACAGGAACAUGAAGUUUUCUGUUGAAGAACUGAAAAGACAAGACCCUUUCAUGGUGUCCUUUAGAAAAGGCUCAUCUGAAAAGUGGAGGUCAAGAAAUUUGAAGACAGCACUUAUAAUGAUGACGAGAGUGCAUUUGCUGUCAUACCACAGGCUGGAGGACUUGAGCAGACUGCUGAAAAUGAAGCAUUUGGGUUACCCUCGGGCAGUUCAGCUACCUUAAAAAGGAAACUUAAUGAGACAGAGGACUGCAAAUUGAAAAUGAAUCAGGCAUUUUCUUUACUUACAAGUAGUGGCAGAAAGACCCUAAAAGGAAAAGGAG